AUUGAACGCUGGCGGCAUGCCUUACACAUGCAAGUCGAACGGUAACAGGUCUUCGGAUGCUGACGAGUGGCGAACGGGUGAGUAAUACAUCGGAACGUGCCCGAUCGUGGGGGAUAACGAAGCGAAAGCUUUGCUAAUACCGCAUAAGAUCUACGGAUGAAAGCAGGGGACCGCAAGGCCUUGCGCGAACGGAGCGGCCGAAGACAGGUUAGGGAGUUGGUGGGAUAAAAGCUUACCAAGCCGACGAUAUGUAGCUGGUCUGAGAGGACGACCGGCCACACUGGGACUGAGACACGGCCCAGACUGCUCGGGGGGGCAGCAGUGGGGAAUUUUGGACAAUGGGCGGAAGCCUUAUCAAGCCAUGCCGCGUGCAGGAUGAAGGCCUUCGGGUUGUAAACUGCUUUUGUACGGAACGAAAAGACUCUUUCUAAUAAAGAGGGUCCAUGACGGUACCGUAAGAAUAAGCACCGGCUAACUACGUGCCAGCCGCCGCCGUAAUAC
rnacentral:rRNA from 1 species